UAAGGAAUAUUGCUCAAUGGGAGAAAUCCUGAAGCAGCAACGCCGCGUGGAGGAUGAAGGGUCUAUGACUUGUAAACUCCUGUAAAGAAGGAAAAAAUUCCCAUUAGAUGGGAGAUGAUGGUACUUCUGGAGUAAGCCCCGGCUAACUACGUGCCAGCAGCCGCGGUAAUACGUAGGGGGCAAGCGUUGUCCGGAUUUACUGGGUGUAAAGGGUGCUCAGGCGGAUUUGUAAGUCAGAGGUGAAAUCUUACAGCUUAACUGUGAAACUGCCUUUGAUACUGCAAGCCUAGAGUAUGGAAGAGAGUGAUGGAAUAUCUGGUGUAGCAGUGAAAUGCGUAGAUAUCAGAUAGAACACCAAUGGCGAAGGCAGUCACUUGGUCCAUUACUGACGCUAAAGCACGAAAGCGUGGGGAGCAAACA
rnacentral:rRNA from 1 species